CAGCCGCCGCGGUAAUACCGGCGGCCCGAGUGGCGGUCACUAUUAUUGGGCUUAAAGCGUCCGUAGCCGGGUUGGGAAGUCCUCCGGGAAAUCUGGCCGCUUAAAGGUCAGAAUGCCGGAGGAUACUCCCAGCCUAGGGAGCGGGAGAGGCCGAGGGUAUUCCCGGAGUAGGGGUGAAAUCCUAUAAUCCCGGGAGGACCACCUGUGGCGAAGGCGCUCGGCUGGAACGCGUCCGACGGUGAGGGACGAAGGCCAGGGGAGCAAACCGGAUUAGAUACCCGGGUAGUCCUGGCGGUAAACGAUGCGGACUUUGUGUCGGACAAGCUAUGAGCUUGUCCGGUGCCGGAGGGAAACCAUUAAGUCCGCCGCCUGGGGAGUACGGCCGCAAGGCUGAAACUUAAAGGAAUUGGCGGG
rnacentral:rRNA from 1 species